AACGCUAGCUACAGGCUUAACACAUGCAAGUCGAGGGGAAACGAUAUUGGAAGCUUGCUUCCGAUAGGCGUCGACCGGCGCACGGGUGAGUAACACGUAUCCAACCUUCCGUUGACUUGGGGAUAGCCUUUCGAAAGAAAGAUUAAUACCCGAUAAUAUAAGCUAACCUCCUGGUUUACUUAUUAAAGAAUUUCGGUUAUCGAUGGGGAUGCGUUCCAUUAGGCAGUUGGCGGGGUAACGGCCCACCAAACCUUCGAUGGAUAGGGGUUCUGAGAGGAAGGUCCCCCACACUGGAACUGAGACACGGUCCAGACUCCUACGGGAGGCAGCAGUGAGGAAUAUUGGUCAAUGGACGCAAGUCUGAACCAGCCAAGUAGCGUGAAGGAUGACUGCCCUAUGGGUUGUAAACUUCUUUUAUAUGGGAAUAAAACACUCCACGUGUGGAGCUUUGUAUGUACCAUUAUGAAUAAGCAUCGGCUAACUCCGUGCCAGCAGCCGCGGUAAUACGGAGGAUGCGAGCGUUAUCCGGAUUUAUUGGGUUUAAAGGGAGCGUAGGUGGAUUGAUAAGUCAGCCUGUGAAAGUUUGCGGCUCAACCGUAAAAUUGCAGUUGAUACUGUCAGUCUUGAGUACAGUAGAGGUUAGCGGAAUUCGUGGUGUAGCGGUGAAAUGCUUAGAUAUCACGAAGAACUCCGAUUG
rnacentral:rRNA from 1 species